AUUAUACAGCGAAACUGCGAAUGGCUCAUUAAAUCAGUUAUCGUUUAUUUGAUAGUACCUUACUACUUGGAUAACCGUGGUAAUUCUAGAGCUAAUACAUGCUAAAAACCCCGACUUACGAAGGGGUGUAUUUAUUAGAUUAAAAACCAAUGCCCUUCUGGGCUCUUUGGUGAUUCAUAAUAACUUUUCGAAUCGCAUGGCCUUGCGCCGGCGAUGGUUCAUUCAAAUUUCUGCCCUAUCAACUUUCGAUGGCAGGGUCUUGGCCUGCCAUGGUUACAACGGGUAACGGAGGGUUAGGGCUCGACCCCGGAGAAGGAGCCUGAGAAACGGCUACUACAUCCAAGGAAGGCAGCAGGCGCGCAAAUUACCCAAUCCCGAUUCGGGGAGGUAGUGACAAUAAAUACUGAUACAGGGCUCUUUUGGGUCUUGUAAUUGGAAUGAGUACAAUUUAAAUCCCUUAACGAGGAACAAUUGGAGGGCAAGUCUGGUGCCAGCAGCCGCGGUAAUUCCAGCCCCAAUAGCGUAUAUUAAAGUUGUUGCAGUUAAAAAGCUCGUAGUUGAACCUUGGGCCUGGCUGGCCGGUCCGCCUCACCGCGUGCACUGGUUCGGCCGGGCCUUUCCCUCUGGGGAACCCUAUGGUCUUCACUGAUCGUAGCGGGGAACCAGGACUUUUACUGUGAAAAAAUUAGAGUGUUCAAAGCAGGCCUAUGCUCGAAUACAUUAGCAUGGAAUAAUAAAAUAGGACGUGUGGUUCUAUUUUGUUGGUUUCUAGGACCGCCGUAAUGAUUAAUAGGGACAGUCGGGGGCAUCAGUAUUCAAUUGUCAGAGGUGAAAUUCUUGGAUUUAUUGAAGACUAACUACUGCGAAAGCAUUUGCCAAGGAUGUUUUCAUUAAUCAGGAACGAAAGUUAGGGGAUCGAAGACGAUCAGAUACCGUCGUAGUCUUAACCAUAAACUAUGCCGACUAGGGAUCGGACGGUGUUAUUUUUUGACCCGUUCGGCACCUUACGAGAAAUCAAAGUCUUUGGG
rnacentral:rRNA from 1 species